UACGGAGGGUGCGAGCGUUGUCCGGAAUUACUGGGCGUAAAGGGCGCGUAGGCGGUCAGGUCAGUCCCGUGUGAAAUCCCUCGGCUCAACUGAGGAACUGCACGGGAAACUGCCUGGCUUGAGUUCGGGAGAGGGAAGCGGAAUUCCGGGUGUAGCGGUGAAAUGCGUAGAUAUUCGGAAGAACACCAGUGGCGAAGGCGACUUACUGGACACAUAUUGACGCUGAGGUGCGAAAGCGUGGAGAGCAAACAGG
rnacentral:rRNA from 1 species